UUUUGAAAACACCUGCAAAUAAAUAAUUUUACAUGAACAAUGGCACCAAACAUAAUAAGGAAUAAAUAUGAAAUUUUAAAUAAAUACCACCACCUGUCAGAAUGGGCGGCGCCCCGACACCAGGAGUGGGUGGACCCACAAUACAAACUCCCAAACCAGGCCUUGUGGUACAAGUAGUCUUAGAGUUUAUUUUAGGCAGACGUUCGGUACACAAGUUGUCAGAAAACAGAGCAGAGGUACAAGCAGGGUGAGGCAAAAACGCAGUCAUCGCCAGGCAGGGGUCUGAGGCACAAGCAUAUGGGCUGAGGCAAAAAGGCACGGUCAAGAAACACAGAGCAAAGAACUGGUAUACGGCAAGACUAAUCAGGACUGAGACCAAGAAGGCUGGAGAGUGUGCUGGAAGCGACAACAAUCUGGCGAGGGACUGUGAGGGUUUUUAUCUGAGAUAGGAAGAG